ACGCUGGCGGCGUGCCUAACACAUGCAAGUCAACUUGACUGAAGGAGCAAUCUGACAGUAGAGUGGCGCAAGGGUGCGUAACGCGUAAGUAACUUGCCCAAGGUAAGGAAUAACGUCGAGAAAUCGGCGCUAAUACCUCAUAAUGCAGCGGAUCCGCAUGGAUACGUUGUUAAAGGUUUACCGCCUUGGGAUAGGCUUGCGUCUGAUUAGCUAGUUGGUGUGGUAACGGCACACCAAGGCUACGAUCAGUAACUGGUCUGAGAGGAUGAUCAGUCACACUGGAACUGAGACACGGUCCAGACUCCUACGGGAGGCAGCAGUGAGGAAUAUUGGGCAAUGCUCGAAAGAGUGACCCAGCAACGCCGCGUGGAGGAUGAAGGUAUUCUAUAUCGUAAACUCCUGUGAGAGCAGACGAAAGACAGAUUAUCAAUCUGGAUGACUGUAUGCUCAGAGGAAGCCCCGGCUAACUACGUG
rnacentral:rRNA from 1 species